UACGAAGGGGGCCUAGCGUUGCUCGGAAUCACUGGGCGUAAAGCGCACGUAGGCGGCUUUUUAAGUCAGGGGUGAAAUCCUGGAGCUCAACUCCAGAACUGCCUUUGAUACUGAGAAGCUUGAGUCCGGGAGAGGUGAGUGGAACUGCGAGUGUAGAGGUGAAAUUCGUAGAUAUUCGCAAGAACACCAGUGGCGAAGGCGGCUCACUGGCCCGGUACUGACGCUGAGGUGCGAAAGCGUGGGGAGCGAUCCGG
rnacentral:rRNA from 1 species